GGAGCAACGCCGCGUGAGUGAUGAAGGUUUUCGGAUCGUAAAACUCUGUUGUUAGGGAAGAACAAGUACCGUUCGAAUAGGGCGGUACCUUGACGGUACCUAACCAGAAAGCCACGGCUAACUACGUGCCAGCAGCCGCGGUAAUACGUAGGUGGCAAGCGUUGUCCGGAAUUAUUGGGCGUAAAGCGCGCGCAGGCGGUUUCUUAAGUCUGAUGUGAAAGCCCCCGGCUCAACCGGGGAGGGUCAUUGGAAACUGGGGAACUUGAGUGCAGAAGAGGAGAGUGGAAUUCCACGUGUAGCGGUGAAAUGCGUAGAGAUGUGGAGGAACACCAGUGGCGAAGGCGACUCUCUGGUCUGUAACUGACGCUGAGGCGCGAAAGCGUGGGGAGCGAACAGGAUUAGAUACCCUGGUAGUCCACGCCGUAAACGAUGAGUGCUAAGUGUUAGAGGGUUUCCGCCCUUUAGUGCUGCAGCAAACGCAUUAAGCACUCCGCCUGGGGAGUACGGUCGCAAGACUGAAACUCAAAGGAAUUGACGGGGGCCCGCACAAGCGGUGGAGCA
rnacentral:rRNA from 1 species